UUGUUCUCUCUUUUCCAGUGAGAGAGGAAUUGGGCAUCCCAUUAUUCCUGAUUCCUGGUAUUAGCACCCGCGAUGAGGGGAUGAUAUCGUUUUAUCUGACAGCGUGAGGUUUAUGAACUUCAUUUUUAAUAUUGUCUUGUGGCAUAUUAGAAAUGAUGUUUCUUUGUUGAUCGCUCGGUUACAACGGAUAAAACGACUUCUGAGUGGU